CGCGGAGGGGGCCCGGCCGCACCGUACGGCGCAGAUGGCCGCAAGAGGCGCAGGGCUGUAUGGAGGAGUAGCUGCAGCUGUGUCCCGUGCCACACCAGAGGAAGGAGAGUGCCCGUGUGUCAUGUGCUCCUGAGUCCAGGGAAAGGAGUGUUGUGUCUCAGCACUGCUGUUUCAGUGAGUGUGUUGUGGCUUGUGUCAUACUCCUUGACUGCAUGAAGGUGCUUUGGAGACUAGGUGCCAAAGUGGGUCUGCCCACAGCCAGUGGGUCUGCCCAUAAUACAAGAUACAGAAGGAAAAUUUUUCAUUCACCUUUACAGAUCUGCAGAAGGUGGGGAGAGGGCCAGUGGAGACAUGUAAUGAAUGUCGAUAACUACAUUUAAUUUCUUUGGCAAAUGCUAAUUUGUUAUGGACCACCAUGCUGAAGAAAAAGCCAGCCCUGUGGCUCUUGUGGCAAUGUAAUUACUUGGGGACCUUCAGCUCAUGGCAACAAAAUUGGAAGCAC